rnacentral:lncRNA from 1 species
GGCCGCCAACGUAACCCUCCGCGAAGUUAGAAGCCAUACACUCCGAUCAAACUCUAACUUUUUAGAGUUGUCAUAACCCAAUCAUAAUACUUUCGCUCACGAGUUAAAUAGACCUCGUCUCUCACGGCCUAUUUCCUAUAGUCCAACCAGCCUAAGGUUCGCUAGGUCCACUAAGACUCAACCCUAGGCUCUGAUACCAAAUUAAUCUGUCACGCCCCGGGACCGGCGGAGGCCCUCCCGGUAGCGUGCCCAGACCCGCCAUAUGUCAACACAUAUAAGGCGUCUACAAUAAAAGCGGAAGUAAAAGCAAGUGAUAAAACAAGUAGAAGAAGUGAAAUAACUAGCAACUAGUGAUAUCAGAGC